rnacentral:rRNA from 1 species
AGAGUUUGAUCCUGGCUCAGGAUGAACGCUAGCUACAGGCUUAACACAUGCAAGUCGAGGGGAAACGACAUCGAAAGCUUGCUUUUGAUGGGCGUCGACCGGCGCACGGGUGAGUAACGCGUAUCCAACCUGCCCACCACUUGGGGAUAACCUUGCGAAAGUAAGACUAAUACCCAAUGACGUCUCUAGAAGACAUCUGAAGGAGAUUAAAGAUUUAUCGGUGAUGGAUGGGGAUGCGUCUGAUUAGCUUGUUGGGCGGGGUAACGGCCACCAAGGCGACGAUCAGUAGGGGUUCUGAGAGGAAGGUCCCCCACAUUGGAACUGAGACACGGUCCAAACUCCGUACGGAGCA